GAGAGUCUCUGCUCCAUCAAGAUUCGCUGCACACUCUGCCUAAGAUGAGUCACGACGCCUCAAAUACCACAAGAUCAUUGCCCAGUCCCCAACUGGCCUUGAGGACAGUGGACAUAGAAAGAUCCGUCUGGCUGGGUCCCCCGUGAGAAACUGCCACCGCUGUCAACUGUCCACAUGUUUCUCCAGCUCUUUGCCUUGUAUAAUGGGGAGUUUGGGAACCGCCAGCCCUUGGCUCCUCAUCACAGGCCUGUGGACCUCCAACCCUGUGUUCCAGACUGCUCUGCACUGUUUCCAGCGGUGACUGAAUGCACAUGAGUCAGGUGACCCCAGCUUUGGCCUUGGCCAGCUCUCACUCAGGCUGAGGCCCACAUCUUAGGCUGUGUUUUCUCACCCCUUGAGCUGUAUAUCAGGGUUUCCCUUGAGCCCAGCACCCUGCCGUGGUGCGGGGUAGAUGCAGUCUAGAGAACUUCAUCUGCCCAGGGGUGUUCUCACACCUCAACGGUGGGGCGAAAUUCAGAACCACAGUUCUUGUCAUAGGUCAAUAAUGUUUAAGGAGUUAUAGCAGAAUUGUUUACAUGUCUUUCCAUCAAGACUAGUACAUGCCUAAACAUUCCUAUCUAUUUUCUAGCUCCUCAAGUUCAUUAAAAGUUUAAAGCAAUAGUGUGUAUGUCACAAACAGCAAGGUUUUUGUUUUCAAGAGACACAUCUAUAUCUUCUGUCUCAUUUUGUUCCUUGUACCUUGUGUCUUAUUAUUUUGAAGAUUUGAAUAAACCACUCAACAUUUUCCUUUCUACCCUUGCACCUACAAUAAAUUGCCUAUUUCCAGUUUAUAACCAUUUGUUAUUGAGAUUAGUGGCUUCAUUUGUAACCUAGAAGGAAUGUUUCCCUUGAUCGUAAUUUUUGUUCCAAGUCUAUUUUCUUCUCCUACUGUAAUUUGCUCAUGCUACAGAACUCUAUUUGCAGCUUUUUAUUCCACGAGGAGCUCUUUAUAUUACUUGAAUGAAUUCAAGAUUUCUAUAAGAUAAUUAUCAGGAUCUAUGAAAUCAUCAAUUUGUCUAAACAGCAAUACUACAUGAAAGUACAUCUUCAUAUUGAUUCUGUGGAAAAUCUUUACAAUAGUGGGACCUGAUGUCCAGGCAUCAUUAGGCUAUGUUAUAGUGGCAGGGAAAGGCAUAUGAGCAGCGAGAAGCAGUCCUGGGAUGAAGUCUGCGGAGUCCAUGCCUCUCAGAUCAUACCUACCACAACCAUGCAAAAAAUGGUGAGCCAUCCCCAGAAAACUCCCGUGUUUGCCAUAGCCUUUCCUGCAUAGCUCCUGUCACCUACCAUUAUUCGGAGUCUGUACAAUCUUGUGAGCCCAUAGGAAAAUGGAAAGAGAUUCUUAUAUUUUUGCCUUUUUUCUGUUUGUUCCAAGCUUUUGCUGUGACUCCUACACUCUCUGAACUUUUCUACUAGGUGUUAACUGUAGCUUGUCAGCUAGGGAACAAUAAACAGCGAGCUCCCUUACCCCAAGGUGAUCAACCACCAUAUUAGUUCACCAUUCAGUUCAUUAACUAAUCAAUGCUACGACAUCUCUUCUUAAAAGAGGAUGAACAGGUUUACCUUGAUCACAGGCUCCAUGUUAAAAAUUAGACAGAUAUUUUAGAUGUAACUUCACUAAAGAAACAUGUUCUAUAGCUUUGUUCAGAUUCAAAGGCUCUCUUACAGACACGUGUUAACUGCUUUUUCUACAAUAUGGAUUUUAAUACAAUGGUUGUACUAGUAUACCUUCUCUUGUAAACUAAAAAUUCUUGUAAGCUUCAGGGAACUCAAGAACUCUUAGACUUGGACUCACAGGUCCAAUGGACCAGAUAAGUACAUUUUCCUGUUCCUGAAAAUGGGAUUUUCUCUUGGUCUUAGAAUUCCUCACUUUCCACAGUUCCCAGAAAAAUUCAACUUCUGUUCCUAGUCUAUAUUUGUCUCAACAGAUUUGUCUCAACAGAAUUUUACUUGCAUAGCAGACUCCACCCAGGAAUCACCUGCAGACUGCAAACUGUUGAGCUCUGAACUUAUUGAAAGCUUAUGUAAACCAGUCCAGCCAAAGUGAUUGCUUACCAUCUUUCAGUUGGGUCAGCUAACGACAUGCUUCUAAUAACUCCCUCAUUGCACAGCAGCUGACUUACCAUUCACUCUUUCUGGGCCCUGAUAACAACAUAUUAAUGUCAGUUUAAUGAGAGUAGUUAUAAAAAGAACAAAUUGUCCAUUGUCCCACAAAACAGGAUUAUAGACUGAGACAAAAGGAAACCUCCUGGCAUAAGGACAAAUAGCUACCUGUAAACCAACUGACACACCAGAAAUGGGCCCACACUUGUCAAUUGAUAGAU